GGUGGCCUAGUGGUUAGAGCGUCCGCCUCGGAUGCGAAAGGGUGCGGGUUUGAACCCCGGCCUUGUCA